UACGGAGGGUGCGAGCGUUGUCCGGAAUCACUGGGCGUAAAGGGCGCGUAGGCGGCCUGAUAAGUAGGGGGUGAAAUCCUGCGGCUUAACCGCAGGGCUGCCUUCUAAACUGUCAGGCUCGAGCACAGUAGAGGCAGGUGGAAUUCCCGGUGUAGCGGUGGAAUGCGUAGAUAUCGAGAGGAACACCAGUGGCGAAGGCGAGUCCCUGGACAACACCUGACACUGAGGCACGAAAGCUAGGGGAGCAAACAGG
rnacentral:rRNA from 1 species